AAGCUUCAGCAACACAUACACUAAGAUUGGAAUGAUACAGAGAAGAUUAGCAUGGUCUCUGUGCAAGAACAACUUUGAAGGCAACAAAAAUAGAUAUUU
rnacentral:snRNA from 1 species